UACGUAUGGUGCAAGCGUUAUCCGGAAUGACUGGGUGUAAAGGGAGCGUAGACGGUUGUACAAGUCUGAUGUGAAAGCCCACGGCUCAACUGUGGGAGUGCAUUGGAAACUGUAGAACUAGAGUAUCGGAGAGGCAAGUGGGAUUCCUAGUGUAGCGGUGAAAUGCGUAGAUAUUAGGAGGAACACCAGUGGCGAAGGCGGCUUGCUGGACGAAAACUGACGUUGAGGCUCGAAAGCGUGGGGAGCAAACAGG
rnacentral:rRNA from 1 species